UACGGAGGGGCUAGCGUUGUUCGGAAUUACGUGGGACGUAAAGCGCACGUAGGCGGCUUAGAAAAGGUUGGGGGUAGAAACGCCCGGAGCUCAACUCCGGAAUUGCCUUCAAAACUCUUAAGCUAGAGUUCGGAAGAGGAGAGUGGAAUUCCCAGUGUAGAGGUGAAAUUCGUAGAUAUUGGGAAGAACACCAGUGGCGAAGGCGGCUCUCUGGUCCGAUACUGACGCUGAGGUGCGAAAA
rnacentral:rRNA from 1 species